AGUGAACGCUGGCGGUAGGCCUAACACAUGCAAGUCGAACGGCAGCACAGGAGAGCUUGCUCUCUGGGUGGCGAGUGGCGGACGGGUGAGGAAUACAUCGGAAUCUACCUUUUCGUGGGGGAUAACGUAGGGAAACUUACGCUAAUACCGCAUACGACCUACGGGUGAAAGUGGGGGACCGCAAGGCCUCACGCGAUUAGAUGAGCCGAUGUCCGAUUAGCUAGUUGGCGGGGUAAUGGCCCACCAAGGCGACGAUCGGUAGCUGGUCUGAGGGGAUGAUCAGCCACACUGGAACUGAGACCCGGUCCAGACUCCUACGGGAGGCAGCAGUGGGGAAUAUUGGACAAUGGGCGCAAGCCUGAUCCAGCCAUACCGCGUGGGUGAAGAAGGCCUUCGGGUUGUAAAGCCCUUUUGUUGGGAAAGAAAUCCUGUCGAUUAAUACUCGGUGGGGAUGACGGUACCCAAAGAAUAAGCACCGGCUAACUUCGUGCCAGCAGCCGCCGUAACAC
rnacentral:rRNA from 1 species